rnacentral:rRNA from 1 species
UUCUGUAGGUGAACUCGCGGAAGGAUCAUUA